ACGGAAAGGCCCUGCUUUUGUGGGGUGCUCGAGUGGCGAACGGGUGAGUAACACGUGAGUAACCUGCCCUUGACUUUGGGAUAACUUCAGGAAACUGGGGCUAAUACCGGAUAGGAGCUCCUGCUGCAUGGUGGGGGUUGGAAAGUUUCGGCGGUUGGGGAUGGACUCGCGGCUUAUCAGCUUGUUGGUGGGGUAGUGGCUUACCAAGGCUUUGACGGGUAGCCGGCCUGAGAGGGUGACCGGCCACAUUGGGACUGAGAUACGGCCCAGACUCCUACGGGAGGCAGCAGUGGGGAAUAUUGCACAAUGGGCGGAAGCCUGAUGCAGCAACGCCGCGUGCGGGAUGACGGCCUUCGGGUUGUAAACCGCUUUCGCCUGUGACGAAGCGUGAGUGACGGUAAUGGGUAAAGAAGCACCGGCUAACUACGUGCCAGCAGCCGCGGUGAUACGUAGGGUGCGAGCGUUGUCCGGAUUUAUUGGGCGUAAAGGGCUCGUAGGUGGUUGAUCGCGUCGGAAGUGUAAUCUUGGGGCUUAACCCUGAGCGUGCUUUCGAUACGGGUUGACUUGAGGAAGGUAGGGGAGAAUGGAAUUCCUGGUGGAGCGGUGGAAUGCGCAGAUAUCAGGAGGAACACCAGUGGCGAAGGCGGUUCUCUGGGCCUUUCCUGACGCUGAGGAGCGAAAGCGUGGGGAGCGAACAGGCUUAGAUACCCUGGUAGUCCACGCUGUA
rnacentral:rRNA from 1 species